rnacentral:lncRNA from 1 species
GUGUUCUCUCUGAAUGAUGAAAUUAUCAUUCAUCAUAUGAUGACUUUAUUGUACUAUCUGAUGAUGAUUGGAUUGAUCGAGCCAUCCUCGGGCCUGAUCAUUCAUUAGUUAGAAACACUGACUAGGUUCAUAUUAAUGGUUGGACCUAACCGAAACUUUCAGUGGAGGCCCAUCGCUUACUGAAAUAAAAUUUGGGGCAGAAUUAAUUACUAAAAAUUAUUUAGAGAAAUAAUUGAUUGAGAACUUACCCAUAGAUGCA